rnacentral:rRNA from 1 species
AUAUCAGUCAUGCAUAGCAUAUCAAUAAGCGGAGGAAAAGAAACUAACAAGGAUUCCCUUAGUAACGGCGAGUGAAGCGGGAAGAGCUCAAAUUUAAAAUCUUCAAGGUUUUACCUUGACGAAUUGUAGUUUAAAGAAGUGUUUUCUGUUGAAGUUUUGGUAAAAGUUCUUUGGAAUAGGACAUCAUAGAGGGUGAGAAUCCCGUAUUUGACCAUUAUUUUCAGCUGUGUGAUACACUUUCAAAGAGUCGGAUUGUUUGGGAAUGCAGUCCAAAAUGGGUGGUAAAUUUCAUCUAAAGCUAAAUAUCGGCGAGAGACCGAUAGCGAACAAGUACCGUGAGGGAAAGAUGAAAAGAACUUUGAAAAGAGAGUUAAACAGUACGUGAAAUUGUCAAAAGGGAAGCGUUUGACACCAGUGUUGUUUUCUCGAAAAUCAAUUAAAAAAAGUUGGAUUUUGUGUUGUAUUGACCUUAACAGCUUUCUGCACUCUUUUCCUGCUUUUUUUAAUGCACUUUUCGUUUAACAAGUCAACAUCAGUUUCUUUUGUUGUAAAAGGGUCAUUGGAAGGUGGCUUUCUUUUCGGAGAAAGUGUUUAUAGCCUUUGAUCUCUGCAAUCGGAGAGGACUGAGGUCUGCAGCGUAGAUCCUUCGGGGUUAGAUACAGUUUGUGCUAAGUUAUAACUUUUCAUAGACAACCUUGUUGACUAUGUUUUAGUCAUGUAGCUUACUCGCUUAUGCUAUUUUACCUACGCUUAGGAUGUUGAAGAUGUAGCACAUCAU